GUGGGGAAUAUUGGACAAUGGGCGAAAGCCUGAUCCAGCCAUGCCGCGUGUGUGAAGAAGGUCUUCGGAUUGUAAAGCACUUUAAGUUGGGAGGAAGGGCAGUAAGCUAAUACCUUGCUGUUUUGACGUUACCGACAGAAUAAGCACCGGCUAACUUCGUGCCAGCAGCCGCGGUAAUACGAAGGGUGCAAGCGUUAAUCGGAAUUACUGGGCGUAAAGCGCGCGUAGGUGGUUCAGCAAGUUGGAGGUGAAAUCCCCGGGCUCAACCUGGGAACUGCCUCCAAAACUGCAUGACUAGAGUACGGUAGAGGGUAGUGGAAUUUCCUGUGUAGCGGUGAAAUGCGUAGAUAUAGGAAGGAACACCAGUGGCGAAGGCGACUACCUGGACUGAUACUGACACUGAGGUGCGAAAGCGUGGGGAGCAAACAGGAUUAGAAACCCGGGUAGUCC
rnacentral:rRNA from 1 species